GAGUGAGGUAGGGCACCAUUAACAACGAGCUCAUUAAAGUGCUUCUCAAUAUCCAACAGGUGGCCCCAUUGAUCUUGGUAAGUGAUAGUAGCCACUUUAGCUCAUGCAACACCUGUUGGAUUCAGUAUGAUGUGCUCCAUAAUAUUGAUGAGUCAAUGACCCAAUAGAGCUGGACUACUUCUUCAGCUUUUGAGCCAGUAGCUUC
rnacentral:lncRNA from 1 species